rnacentral:rRNA from 1 species
CCUGACUGCUAUCGGAUUGAUACUAAGCCAUGCGAGUCAUUGUAGCAAUACAAGGCAUACGGCUCAGUAACGCGUAGUCAACCUAACCUAUGGACGGGAAUAGCCUCGGGAAACUGAGAAUAAUGCCCGAUAGAACACUAUACCUGGAAUGGUUUGUGUUCCAAAUGAUUUAUCGCCAUAGGAUGGGACUGCGGCCUAUCAGUUUGUUGGUGAGGUAAUGGCCCACCAAGACUAUUACAGGUACGGGCUCUGAGAGGAGUAGCCCGGAGAUGGGUACUGAGACACGGACCCAGGCCCUAUGGGGCGCAGCAGGCGAGAAAACUUUGCAAUGUGCGAAAGCACGACAAGGUUAAUCCGAGUGAUUUGUGCUAAACGAAUCUUUUGUUAGUCCUAGAAACACUAACGAAUAAGGGGUGGGCAAGUUCUGGUGUCAGCCGCCGCGGUAAAACCAGCACCUCAAGUGGUCAGGAUGAUUAUUGGGCCUAAAGCAUCCGUAGCCGGCUCUGUAAGUUUUCGGUUAAAUCUGUACGCUUAACGUACAGGCUGCCGGGAAUACUGCAGAGCUAGGGAGUGGGAGAGGUAGACGGUACUCGGUAGGAAGUGGUAAAAUGCUUUGAUCUAUCGAUGACCACCUGUGGCGAAGGCGGUCUACCAGAACACGUCCGACGGUGAGGGAUGAAAGCUGGGGGAGCAAACCGGAUUAGAUACCCGGGUAGUCCCAGCUGUAAACUAUGCAAACUCAGUGAUGCAUUGGCUUGUGGCCAAUGCAGUGCUGCAGGGAAGCCGUUAAGUUUGCCGCCUGGGAAGUACGUACGCAAGUAUGAAACUUAAAGGAAUUGGCGGGGGAGCACCACAAGGGGUGAAGCCUGCGGUUC